GACGAACGCGGCGGCGUGCCUAAUACAUGCAAGUGGGACGCAAGGGAACACACUGUGCUUGCACACCGUGUUUUCUUGAGUCGCGAACGGGUGAGUAACGCGUAGGUAACCUGCCUAUUAGCGGGGGAUAACUAUUGGAAACGAUAGCUAAUACCGCAUAAUAUUAAUUAUUGCAUGAUAAUUGAUUGAAAGAUGCAAGCGCAUCACUAGUAGAUGGACCUGCGUUGUAUUAGCUAGUUGGUAAGGUAAGAGCUUACCAAGGCGACGAUACAUAGCCGACCUGAGAGGGUGAUCGGCCACACUGGGACUGAGACACGGCCCAGACUCCUACGGGAGGCAGCAGUAGGGAAUCUUCGGCAAUGGACGAAAGUCUGACCGAGCAACGCCGCGUGAGUGAAGAAGGUUUUCGGAUCGUAAAGCUCUGUUGUAAGUCAAGAACGUGUGUGAGAGUGGAAAGUUCACACAGUGACGGAGCUACCAGAAAGGCGCA
rnacentral:rRNA from 1 species